ACAACCGCCUUUCAAACGCCUCGUCUGAUCUCUGAAGCUAAGCGAGGUUGGGCCUGGUUCGUAGUCCAGAUGGGAGACCUAUGGGAAUACCUGGGGUC
rnacentral:rRNA from 1 species